CCCCCAGAGAUCUCCACCUUUCCAGCAUCCCUCAGUCUUUAGUCGCCUGCCCUAAACACCCUCAUCCCCUCCCUAGAUGACAAAGCCAAGGUCAAGAAGAAAGUGCAGCCUUCCUCUGUCUAUAGGCUAUUCCCUGGAUGCCCGCACCUGUGUGGCUGAGCCUCGUAUGCUUCAGAAAUGUUCCCUCCUCCUUUAUUGUGACAGUCAGUCUCAAGGUUUGGAAAGCAAAGACAACCAAAAAAGGACAUCUGGAAGUUCUGGUCCAGAAACUGAUGUUGACCCGCACAUCCCAGUAUUGCGCAUCAGCCAGCUGGAUGCCCUGGAGCUAGACUCAGCCCUAGAGCAGCUGGUAUGGACCCAGUUCUCCCAGUGCUUCCACAACUGCCGCCCAGGCCUGCUCACCCCGCUGGAGCCUGAACUGAGGGCUCUGCUCCAUUUGCUUCUGUGGAGGUUCACACUUUAUUCUAGCAGUGCCACUGUGGGCCAGUCUUUACUGAGUCUACGCUACCACAACAUCCUCUCCUCGUCUGGCCGUUACAGACCUCUGUCUCGCAGGCAGAAGCUGGGUCUGGCGCUGCUCACUGCAGGUCCACGCUGGCUCCAGGAGCGCUCCCACAGUCUGCUGCUGUGCUUGAGUUCAGGAGGGUCUGUGUCUGAAAGAGACGGUGGUUUACUCCAACAGGGUCUCCGCAAUUGCCUGACCCUUGUUUCCAGUAUCACUCAGCUCGCAAAUCUCAUCAACUUCCUUGUGUUCCUAAGGAAAGGUCGCCAUCCUGUCCUGGCUGAAAGGAUUGUGGGAGCUCGGGCAGCUUUCAGCGAGCCCAAUGUGGUCCGGGACGUAACCUACCAGUACAUGAACCGCGAGCUGCUGUGGCACGGCUUUGCUGAGUUCCUCAUCUUUCUAUUACCACUGAUCAAUACAAGGAAGCUGAAGGCAACACUGUUUUCAUCUGUUUUUGGGGGAGAACGUACAGAUAGGGCGGGAGCGACCGAAGGGCAAGGGGUGUGGAAAGAGUGCGGACUAUGCGGAGAGUGGCCGACCAUGCCUCAUACUGUGGGCUGCCAACAUGUUUUCUGCUACUACUGCAUCAAAAGCCACAGCAUUGCAGAUGCUUACCUCACCUGCCCCAAAUGUGGUGCAGAAGCAGGGCAGCCUGAGCCGGUCAAGAUGGAGGUGGAGAUGAUUGGCAUGGCUGUUUUGUAAUUGCAGGGACUUAUUGAAAUUUAAGUGGUGGUUCAUAUCUUUAUAGCUGCACAAAUAGACCACAUUUGUAUGAUUAUGUAAAUGUAUCUUAAAGUUUAUAUAUGAAAAUGUAUUGAAUAAUUAAACUGUCAUAUAAGAAUAUUUUGAACAGUCCCUAUUCUGUGAGCAGCCCUCCUUUUUGAUUCACGAGGUAGUCGUGUAUGAGUUUAUGACUGUACUUCAGUCUUUAUGAUGUCUGUGUCUUUCCUGAACACACAUAGACCUGCUAUGUUUAAUGUAUGUGUGCAUAUAUUGACAAUCCUCUGCCCCUUUCGUUUCUCCAGCUGGACUUUGGACAGAACUAUUUGUCUUUGGUGCACUGGACAGACUACAGAGAACCACACAGAGCAUAUAUUUGAUGAGUGAACGUGUUGAUUUAUGCUCCAAAUUGGCUGUGUGUGUGUGUGUGUGUGUGUGUGUGUGUGUGUGUGUGUGUGUGUGUGUGUGUGUGUGUGUGUGUGUGUGUGUGUGUGUGUGUGUGUGUGUGUGUGUGUGUGUGUGUGUGUGUGUGUGUGUUGAAAUGGGAAUAUUUGUUCUGAUGAAAAAUGCAGAAAGUCAGCUGAAUAAAUAAUGGGAGGAAUUUCUGAAGCCUCUCAUCAUGGCCAAAUUAGCAUUUGUUGUGUAUUUUGUGCGUAAAUUGUAUUUCAACAUCAUUAAAAUUGAUAGAGUGCUA